rnacentral:rRNA from 1 species
UAUUGGAAACAGUAUAGCCGUAAGGCAAAUGUGAAGGUGCUGCAUGGUUGUCGUCAGCUCGUGCCGUGAGGUGUCGGCUUAAGUGCCAUAACGAGCGCAACCCUUAUCUUUAGUUACUAACAGGUCAUGCUGAGGACUCUAGAGAGACUGCCGUCGUAAGAUGUGAGGAAGGUGGGGAUGACGUCAAAUCAGCACGGCCCUUACGUCCGGGGCUACACACGUGUUACAAUGGGGGGUACAGAAGGCAGCUACCUGGUGACAGGAUGCUAAUCCCAAAAGCCUCUCUCAGUUCGGAUCGAAGUCUGCAACCCGACUUCGUGAAGCUGGAUUCGCUAGUAAUCGCGCAUCAGCCAUGGCGCGGUGAAUACGUUCCCGGGCCUUGUACACACCGCCCGUCAAGCCAUGAAAGCCGGGGGUACCUGAAGUACGUAACCGCAAGGAGCGUCCUAGGGUAAAACUGGUAAUUAGGGCUAAGUCGUAACAAGGUAGCCGUACCGGAAGGUGC